rnacentral:misc_RNA from 1 species
ACUUAGCCUGUGUGAAAACAAGCUUGAGAGUGUAGAAAUAGUUGUGCAAGAAGUUACCAAGUUCAAAAAUCUAAGGGCUCUCUGGCUGAAUAACAAUCCACUUUUAAGAAACUGUAAUAGUCAUAUGGAAGAAGCAAUUGUCCAAGGUUGUCCAAGAUUGGAAAUCUACAACUCACAUUUCACCAGCAAUUUUGGUGGGUGGGCCUUGGGAUUUUGUGGAGGAGUGUAUGACAAGGAUAAUCCCGGCUGUGUCAAUCAGAGUGACUUUCAAUU